GACGAACGCUGGCGGCGUGCCUAAUACAUGCAAGUCGAACGCUUCUUUUUCCACCGGAGCUUGCUCCACCGGAAAAAGAGGAGUGGCGAACGGGUGAGUAACACGUGGGUAACCUGCCCAUCAGAAGGGGAUAACACUUGGAAACAGGUGCUAAUACCGUAUAACAAUCAAAACCGCAUGGUUUUGAUUUGAAAGGCGCUUUCGGGUGUCGCUGAUGGAUGGACCCGCGGUGCAUUAGCUAGUUGGUGAGGUAACGGCUCACCAAGGCCACGAUGCAUAGCCGACCUGAGAGGGUGAUCGGCCACAUUGGGACUGAGACACGGCCCAAACUCCUACGGGAGGCAGCAGUAGGGAAUCUUCGGCAAUGGGCGAAAGUCUGACGGAGCAACGCCGCGUGAGUGAUGAAGGCUUUCGGGUCGUAAAACUCUGUUGUUAGGGAAGAACAAGUACAAGAGUAACUGCUUGUACCUUGACGGUACCUAACCAGAAAGCCACGGCUAACUACGUGCCAGCCGCCGCUGUAA
rnacentral:rRNA from 1 species